AAAGUGGUCUAGGUUUAACUUAAAUUAAAUAUUACACAUGAUUGAAAAUUUACCAUUUUAACCUUGUAAAACGAAACCCACAUUUUAUGUUCCAGAUAACAAAAUAAAAUCCUACCCCAAAGUUCAUAAUAAUCAUUUUUAAACCCACACGAUUAAACAUUCUAAAACCAUGGUAACCGUUUCAAAUUGUGCUUUAUGAAUGGGAGUUUUGAAGACAAUUAAGCAGGUUCCUACUACUUUAGAUGUUGUAAUUACAGAAAGGCCCCUUAGAUGUUGCUCAAAUUUGGACAAUUAGUGAUGGACCUUGUAGCUCAAAUUUACAAAAAGGCCCCUUAGAUGUUGCUGUUUUGAAACACUAUACAAAUGAUAAGAGCAAAGAUGUAACAACACUUGACUGGAAUGGUGAUGGAACUCUACUUGCAACAGGUUCUUAUGAUGGGCAAACCAGAAUAUGGAGUAAAGAUGGCAAAUUAAGCAACUUUUUUGCAUUUUCAAUAUGGGUUUUUUAAAAUAAAAUUAAGUUAGGUUUAUUUAUUAUUUUAGGAGAGCUGAUGAGUACAUUAACAAAACAUAAGGGGCCAAUAUUCUCUUUAAAAUGGAACAAGAAAGGAGCCUAUCUUUUAAGUGGCAGUGUAGACCAAACAGCAAUUGUAUGGGACAUUAAGACUGGAGAAUGGAAACAACAAUUUGAGUUUCACACAGCUCCUACUGAUGUUAAUUUAUGUCUAUAAAGUUGGAGAUAAUCGACCAGUAAAAACUUUUGUGGGCCAUCAGGUUUAA